rnacentral:rRNA from 1 species
CACGUAGGGUGCGAGCGUUGUCCGGAAUUAUUGGGCGUAAAGAGCUCGUAGGCGGUGUGUCGCGUCGGCCGUGAAAACCUGUGGCUUAACUAUGGGCUUGCGGUCGAUACGGGCAUCACUGGAGUUCGGCAGGGGAGACUGGAAUUCCUGGUGUAGCGGUGAAAUGCGCAGAUAUCAGGAGGAAUACCGGUGGCGAAGGCGGAUCUCUGGGCCAUUACUGACGCUGAGGAGCGAAAGCGUGGGGAGCGAACAGG